rnacentral:lncRNA from 1 species
GAAGACAAAAAUCCUUCAAUUUAUACGUCGGUUCUGAAUGAAUGUGACGUCUACGUUCCUGUAAUUGAUUAUUUUCACCAAAUUCGAGGGUUUUAGACGUCGGCUAGGAGUGGCAUCGAAGUGAACUACCCUGAUAGGAAAUCAAGCGUCAAUCUUUUCAGCUUCUUUAAGAAGAAUAGACGUCGGAUCCCGAUCAAACACUGACAUCUAGAGACGUCGGUUUCUGGCACAACCGACGCCCAAUUUCAUUUUAAAUAAACCGCAGACCCUUCUAACCACUCAGUUUCUGAUCGCAUCUUCAUCUUUUCUCCUUUUUCUCUGCUUCUCCUCUUCUUUUACUCCCUUGCGCACCUCUACUUUUUAUCUCUUCCGGCACUGCAUUAUAUUUUCUCAUAACGUCAUUGUCUUCGUCCUCUCCUUUUUCUCUCUUCAUCUCAGGUGCGUGGUUUUUCUUACGCUUACCGUUUAAACUUUCUUUAGUUUUUUAUCGAUUAUCUUGUCGUUCAACUUAUUAAAAUUUGCCUUUUUUGUGUUGUGUUUUAGUGCAGUUUUGAUCCACUCUUUGGGUAACAUAGUGCAACAUUCUCCCUUUGCUAGUUUCCUCACUAAAAGAGUGGCGAUCUUUUGAGUUUUUUAGUUCUUCCGACCCAAAAUGGAACUUGGGUCCUUGUCUACUUCUCGACAUCGUAAUUUUUUCUGUUGCGGUUGAAUAAUUGGAAGUAGCCAUGGACCCAGGUUCGGUUUUGGGUUGAAAGCACUAGAAGAUUCAAAAGACGCAAGCUUUUUUUGUGGGGAAACUAGCGAGAGGAGAGUGUUACACAAUGCUACCGAAAGCCUAGAUCAAAACUGCACUAAAACACAAAGUCGUUGUUAGACGUCUGUUAAAGCCAU